UACGGGGGAUGCAAGCGUUAUCCGGAUUUAUUGGGUUUAAAGGGUGCGUAGGCUGUGAGGUAAGUCAGCGGUGAAAUGCCCCCGCUCAACGGGGUGAAGUGCCAUUGAUACUGCCUUGCUGGAAUGCGGAUGCCGUGGGAGGAAUGUGUGGUGUAGCGGUGAAAUGCAUAGAUAUCACACAGAACACCGAUUGCGAAGGCAUCUCACGCAUCCGCGAUUGACGCUGAUGCACGAAAGCGUGGGUAUCAAACAGG
rnacentral:rRNA from 1 species